UACGUAGGGGGCUAGCGUUGUCCGGAAUCAUUGGGCGUAAAGAGCGUGUAGGCGGCCCGGUAAGUCCGCUGUGAAAGUCGGGGGCUCAACCCUCGAAUGCCGGUGGAUACUGUCGGGCUAGAGUGCGGAAGAGGCGAGUGGAAUUCCUGGUGUAGCGGUGAAAUGCGCAGAUAUCAGGAGGAACACCGAUUGCGAAGGCAGCUCGCUGGGACGUCACUGACGCUGAGACGCGAAAGCGUGGGGAGCAAACAGG
rnacentral:rRNA from 1 species